rnacentral:rRNA from 1 species
UACGUAGGGGACGAGCGUUGUCCGGAAUUACUAGGCGUAAAGGGCAGGCAGGCGGAUCCAUAAGUUUAUCGUUUAAGGCGUCGGCUUAACCGGCGUAGGGCGGUAGAUACUGUGGAUCUGGAAUGCGGUUGGGGAAGACAGAAUUCCUGGUGUAGCGGUGGAAUGCGCAGAGAUCAGGAGGAAUACCGAAGGCGAAGGCAGUCUUCCAAGCCGUUAUUGACGCUCAACUGCGAAGGUGUGGGUAUCAAACAGGAUUAGAUACCCGCGUAGUCCCUGA